GAUGAACGCUGGCGGCGUGCCUAAUACAUGCCAGUCGAGCGAACAGACGAGGAGCUUGCUCCUUCGACGUUAGCGGCGGACGGGUGAGUAACACGUAGAUAACCUACCUAUAAGACUGGGAUAACUUCGGGAAACCGGAGCUAAUACCGGAUAAUAUUUCGAACCGCAUGGUUCGAUAGUGAAAGAUGGCUUUGCUAUCACUUAUAGAUGGACCUGCGCCGUAUUAGCUAGUUGGUAAGGUAACGGCUUACCAAGGCAACGAUACGUAGCCGACCUGAGAGGGUGAUCGGCCACACUGGAACUGAGACACGGUCCAGACUCCUACGGGAGGCAGCAGUAGGGAAUCUUCCGCAAUGGGCGAAAGCCUGACGGAGCAACGCCGCGUGAGUGAUGAAGGUCUUCGGAUCGUAAAACUCUGUUAUUAGGGAAGAACAAACGUGUAAGUAACUGUGCACGUCUUGACGGUACCUAAUCAGAAAGCCACGGCUAACUACGUG
rnacentral:rRNA from 1 species